rnacentral:tRNA from 1 species
GGGUUGUAGUUUUUGUAAAAAUAUAUGAUUUGCAAUUGUAAGAGAGGACUCUAUG